ensembl:lncRNA
GAAGAAUAUUGUUUUUUUAGCUAGGCUGCAUCACAAAAGUGUGUUUAAUGUCAGCGACUUCUAGACUGUGUUCUUUAUAACCCUGAUAUUUAGAAAAUGAAUUUAAAAUAGCAUAAUUAUUUCCUAAGACUGUUUUCAGUAAAAGCAGAUGGUUCCAGUUCCAUUCCCAAAUAUUAUUUCUGUAGCUCUGUUGUUUUUUUUUUUUUUCCUUAUAAAACAGAAAUGUUUUAUAAUGGUUGGUUAGAGGUAGAUUAAGUUAGAAAAUUAAACACCUCGAAAGUAAAUUACCAUUUGGAAAAAUAAUUAUUGCUAUUAAUGUCUGGUGAUUCUGUUGAUGAAGAAGAAAUGGAAGCUGCAGGGUCUGGGUGUACACUAAUUGAUAGGUGGUUUAUUUACACAUGUACACACCAGACAAUUACCAAUGGACAAUUUGAUACAAUCAGAUAGCCCUUACAGCAUGUCCUCCUUUAACAAUCCCCAGCCUGCCAGGCUGCUUGGGGUGACAGAGAGAACUAUUCCUCCAAUAAUUGUUUCUGAUAUGAAUCCUAACCAAGUGCAAACUCUUGAGCUGUUCACUUAAGAAUUUUGCAUGACAAAACUGAAUUUAUUUGAGGUCGUGUGUUUUGCUCACACGAUCACUCAAAAUAACAGACUGGUUAAAAGUGAUCAUUUCUUGAAACACAGCCUGAGUAUUUUCAUUAUCCGUAAAACAGGCAGUAUCAACAGUUAAUUGCAUUCUGAGGCAAUGGGAGAAUUGCCUAACGGUGCUGUGUAAAGGGCUACUAAUGAGGAAGAGAGAGAUCAAACUCUACUCCUAUUUAAGAUGUGUCAGCACCUCAAUAUGAAAGCGUGCCUUGUGCAACCAAGCAUGCCAGACACCUCCCUUAGGCAACGCAAGCGGUGGUUCAAAAGUGACACUUCAGUUUGGCCUUACACAACCUCAAGAAAAGUGCAGAGCACGAAACACACACAUGGUGUUAAACCCAGGCUCCAGUCGCCACUAUAGCAUCAUUGUCACCAUCACUUGGCCUGCCUGUGCUACCCAGCCUGCUGCUAGGAUUCACCUUUAGAAGACUUUCUGGAAUUACUCCAAGUGUAUCACAGUGUAAUGCACACCAUCAUUGGAAACAAAGCAUUUACUGAAUUACAUGGUUCAUGUGCUACUUUAUGCCCACAAAUGAAAUGAAUAAUUACUAUCUGCUAAAAAACAUCAGACGUUCAGUAUAAUUUAUAUAUAGCAGCAUAAGACAUUGUUUGAAAAAAAAAAAAAGGAAAUCUGAACUUCUGAAAUAUCAAAAUAUUUUUAUAUGUCAUAUUUAUAUACAUUUUGAAUUUCUUCUCUCUUCCUUCUCUGAAAUUGUGUUAUAUUUGCACUCGAAUCAUAUGCUACAUUCUCCUUGGCAGAGAACUCGUAUCUUUUUACAAGACAGUUGGCUGCUUUAUAGUGCGUCUCUGUAUUUGGAAAACCACAGCUGGUGAGAACUGGCACUUCAUGGAAAAAUACAGAGCACAUAAGGUAUUUUAAGUUUAAAAGUGGGUAUCCAGGAAGGACAGUGGAGAGCCAACGUCAAACAAAGUGUGCAUACCCAGAAAUUACUGUGUGCCAGGGAAUUGGGGGUGCCUACUUUUAACUGCCCUUCAGACACGAAUCAGAAAUACAGUGACUUAUGAGAAAAGGCUCACCUUGACAUGCAGCAAUCGAACUUCUGUGCUUUGUUCAACAAAACUCACCAUAAAGGCCUCUGGGCAUUUCCAAGUUGCACGGUAUCAUUUGAGCACAUUCCAGGUGCACGUCCAGGCAAUUUCUUUCAGUGUAGUACGCAAGGGAUACUGCAGCAGCAGCACCUAAAAGAGGAUAACAGCGCACUGAGAACCUGAAAAAAGCAACAAAGCAAAAACUGAGCAAAAGUCCAAUCAGAAGCUUAAAAACUUAAACAAGCAGUAUGUUACUACAAGUGCCACUCAUCCAGCAGAACCAGUAUUCUCUAAUGCUACACUCAGUGGCAAUUAGCCAGCCUUGAGCAGAGGUAUAAAGAUAGAAAGCAUAGUGAAGAAAAGACCACCUGUGGUGCUGGCUGUUGAUACUUCAAGACCCCUUCUUCCUACAGCUGGCAGUGACGAUACCAUUUCCAGCUGAACUGCUGAUGGCAAGAGUCACAACUCCAGCAACGCAAUCUAAAAACACUGGACUGGAUAUAUGAAGGCUAUCGCCGACCAAAGUCUCAAUUCAUUUCUCAUUUCUGGAGAAGACUACAUCAUUUGCACUACCCUGAUGGUCACUGGAAAUCCACACAAGGACUUACUGCCAUUGCAGCUCCUGAAAUUCAGCCUCCUCCACCAACUCACUUAAGAAUUGGAGCCACUAUGAUUUAUGAUGAUGCUUUGGUGAACUUUAGGCUGAGUUUUUUUAAAAAAGAGCAGUAAAGCAGAACAUAAUUACUAGGAAGGGUAAACUGAUCUUGCUCCACUUUAGAUGUUUAGAAAAUACAGCUGUCUCCAUCAGAACAAGACUUUUGGAUUCCCAUUACAGUCAACAGAAAUCUGGCUAAUGUAUUCAGGGGAUUUCAUGGGUACUAUUCAUCUGUCCAAAAAGCAGGCACCUACUUUAAGAUGACAUGGAUUAUACCUUAAAUAUCCUUAAGUAGAUUUUUUUAUUUGGUAUAAAGAGAGCACAGACCAACUAGACCACUUGUACAUGCCUGUAGUACACUCUUUAUCCUAAAGGAUCAAAACAUUUCAAAUACAGACUAGAACAUUUCAUGAACAUCCACAGGUAACAGAUAAAAACCCCGCUGUUUUCACCUAACAGCACACUUCACUUCAUAAGUGCAUUAGGGGUAAGUAAUGGCUUCCAAAAAAAACAUUCCUAAGUGCCUCUGACAGAGAUUGUACCACUAUCUUACAGACACUGGGGUAAGGACACUGGACUGGAUGCUUAGGCACAGUCAUGCUUUGUCCUGCUGAUUGCACAGUGUUUUUAUACAGAAAGGCAUUUCUUCAAUGGAAAAGACCCUGAAAUAGAGGUGUUCACGUGGUCCAUCCAUUUUUAGAACAGUUAAUCAUAAUUGAUCCUUAUGCAAUGAAUACUAAAUAAGAGUUAUUAAUAAUGAAUAAUAAGAAUGAAUUAUAAUGGUUUGCUCAUUGGGCUAUCAAUAAUUAACAGGGAUUUGCCAUUUAUUGUAAGUACUGUUGCUGUUUCUGUUGCAGAUUUGGAUGGCACAAUUUAUAUGGUAAUUUUAUAUGAAACAGCGCCAAUUACAUCAUGGCUAUUACAAUAGAGUAGAAGCAAAUGAUGACUUUAUCAGUUUUGUUAACUUUUUCAUUUUAUUCAUUGUUAGCAUAGCUUGCAAUGUAAACACGAUGUAGUGAAAGGAAUAAAGAAGUUUUGUGCAAGUCUAAUAAUUGUGGCUAGGAAAAUAACUUCACCAGGCACUCACGCAGCAGAAAUGAAUACAAUGGGGCAGAAAAAGAGGCAGGGAGGUCAGCGUUGAGAUGGAGCAGAAGGAAGAGCAUCAGUGUUCAGUAGCUACCAACACCUGCUGAAAGCGCAAUGAAAGGAAGGAGAGGCACAGUAACAUCACCGAGGAGAACACACCCAGACAGCGCAUUGAAUGGACCACAUGGGGAUAAAGGAAGGCAGGAUCGCCCCGUGGGAAUCCAGUCACUUGAGCAGUGUGGGAGAUUUAACUGAGAUUCGUGGAUAACAGCCACACACCUCCUCUGGCACAUGACUGGACUGCACUGACAGCGAGUGUAGGGCAGCGGUAGCAUGUAUUUUUCUAAGCCUGUUGAUUCAGAGCCUGUGUGAGUUUAUUACCAUCAACAGAACUUAUCGGACUAUGGGAAAAGCAAGCCAGAAGGACAUACAUGAGCUCCACGGGAGGAAAAUUUAGCACGACCACCUUCUGUCAAAGGGUGGUCAUUCUUCAGGGGAGACAACUGAAGUCGCAGCAUGAAAUUUACACAAAAUUCAAUUCAGAUUUGAGACCUGUAGUAAAAAGAGCUGCCAACAGUGACAGAAUGCUUGUUCUGCAUGACAGAAAUGCUAACAGAGACGAUUUCUAACACUUGAAGUACCUAUAUAAAGGAUGAGGGAGAAAGAAGAGAUAACACAUUCAAUUUAAAUCGAGGUGCACAAGCUAACAUUCAGAUUUAUGAAGAGUUUGGAAAAAUGAACUGCACUCUCAGGUGAACUAUCUGCUUCCACAUGCAGAUUCCCCUCAGGAAAAGCCAGCUGGGAUCCGAGGACAUGGAUAGUCUUGUAUGGAAUCUCCGGUAUCCCACCAGUGGGCAGGUCGAACCCAACAAACGGGCUGGGUUGGGCCUGAAGGGCCACAUCACCCAGAACUGAUGGGUUGGUUUUGUCUCUCAGACAGAAGAAGGAAACUCCAGAUCAAAAUCCACCCACUGUACUUGGAACCAAGGAAGCUCCUCAUAUCUGGAGAGAAGGUGCCUGGUGGCAUCUUCUACCCAGUGCAGAUUUACACUAAAGACAGUAUAACAUCUUUCCUCUGUGGAUUCUAUCUUUGUGCUGCAAAUGUAUCCUAGGAAGGUUUACUUUUUCAAGUUUUCUACCAAUCCCUCCAUUUUCAUCAAUAAUAUCUGUGACGUAACUCAUUUUCACAUGAUCAUCCCUCAAGAGAUUUAGGUUAUAUAAUUGGCACCUAUGCUGUUUUGGCUGUUGUGAAUGCAGCAGAGAUCAACAAAAUGGGAUGUUUCUCUGUCAUCCUUGAAGAGGCUGCUAGUGCUAAUCAGGAAUUGGAAAUUAAACACUGAGAUGGAUUUAGAGACAUACAGUGUGCGACAAUUCAGCAAGUGCUGAAGAACACUGUUCUGAAUCCUUAAAGGUUAGUGAUGGAAGUUGCAGUGACUAAAACGUGUUGAGCUCUGAAAAAAAACCCAAACAAUUAGGUAUAGGAAAUAGAAUGACUGCAGUAAUGAAAUCUUGGAAAAGUAAUGGAAAAGGACAACUCAAUGUUACUUACUACAGUAAUGGUAGAACUCUGGUUUUGGUGUUUGCAGUUACAGCAAUGGUAUCUUUCUAAUAUGCCUAGUGUUGAAUACGUGGUCACGUAACUGCACUGUUCCCCAUCAGCCUGAUACAGACUUCGAAGGCAAUCAACAACACUAUCAAUGAAUGUUCUAUGAAUACUGAUAAAAAGACAAAGAGUUCAGAUUUUCCUCCUCACAGUCACCAUAAAUGGUUAAAUGUAAAACUACUGCGAGGAAAGAUCGGGAAAUUAUAGAAGUGGAACAGAUUCAGAAGCUUAUGAAAUCAGUGCAUAAUUGUAAUGGAAUACAGCCAAUUGAAUAAACAACACAUAAACACAAAAAAACAAUGCAGGUUACUGUGAAUAUGCUUACAUAUUUGCUAAGAUGACCUUGGUCUGUGUGCCACGGGCUGGGCACCAGAUGGACAGCAGCCUGAGGGAAUUGUUUUUUCUGCCCAAGUUCCAAUAUUCAAGUUCAUUUCUACGCUUACACUCUCUUGUUCUGCUUCUUAUGAAUUUAUACUCACAUCAUUUUUCCUUUACUUCUCAUGGCCACCUUCGUCUUUGAUCAUCCGUGUGCUUAUUGGUUUGCUCUACUUCUCUCUAUCUGAGCAAUAAUCUGUGUUUCUGUGGAUUUAUUAUUCUUACAAAAAUCAGCUUUAGUUCUGCAACUUUUUUGUUUCAGUUCUGUUGGAAAUCUUAACUAUCUACAUUUAUUUCUUAUGGAUUAUCAGUCACAGAACACUAUUCUAAUUUUGGGCUUAUCAAAAAU